GGGGCCUGGAAGGGCCCCCCUUUCCCCUUUGGUAAGACAGAGGCUGGAGAAAGUCUGAGGAAGAACCUGAGCUGUAAGGCGGUUGUGACCCACCUGGAUGGGCUUAGGCAGCAGGGCUUGGACUGUGCCCCCUGUUUUCCUUUGCACACUGGGCCUGGCUCCGCCCCUCCCGUGUGCCUGGCACCUGGAACCUUGGCCCCAUCUGCGUCAUUACCAUCUGUGGGCUCUCAUUCCUUCCUCUCCUGGCCACAUGGGCACUGCUGUUCCUUUAGCCACACUGUGCCAGGGGGGGACCCUUGGCUCUAAACUCACGGUGGGCUUCCGGGGUCCCUACUCGUCUCAGAGGCCAGCCCCACAGGUCCUCGGCAGGUUCCCCCUCCCAGGCUUGGCAUGCACUGGAGACCCACCCUCUGCCUCAUCCCCAGACCCAUCAAAGCCCACACUUCCCUAGCAAGAAAAACCCAGUAGCCAUAUGACGCUGACGACCCAGCUCUGCUCCCACGCCCCCAGCUUGGCACAGGCUAGGUUGUGCCUUCGGGAUGCUGUGGGGAAGGACCCUCUCUUCCAUCCCCAAUGGCUGGCACCCAGGGGUGGAGGUUGGAGGGGGCAGAGGGUCUCCGGGUUGCAGGAUGAUGAUGGAAUGGGCCGCCGCUCAGGGCCCCUGGCUCCUCCCUGUCCAGCCUGCUCCCCUCGGCCAGAUGGGCCGCCCCCAAAGACACAGGAGACCGCCUUUCAGAAGUCACCUCUGCUCAGAUCUUCCUCUAAGCACGUCUUUAUCCUCAUGUGUCGGAAGUCUCCAGAACCAGGAACUUUACUCCAGAGAAAGUGAGACCCAGAAAGUUUCCACAGCCUCUGGGCUGUUUGGCAGUUGGGCAGGUGACAUGCCGUGUUGGGAGAAAAGUGACAUGCCAAGUGUGUGUCCCCCUUGGUGGAGAGACGGAGGAGGAAAGGGGGUGGUGUAGUGGGGAUGAGCUUAGCUGGAGCUGUGCGCAGGGGCCAAAGCCCCAGGACGUGGGGGCCAGGGCAAGGGGCGGGGCCUGGGCUUGGGAGCAGACCAGUCCCCUCCUUGGAUCUGAGGUGUGGACAAGUCAUGGCUCUGGAGCUGGAGGGGCCAGCUGGGUUUGGGCACCCAGCUGAAAAGUCUGGUUUCUGUCCGGGGACUGACCUGGCUGGCAGCCUCUGCCAGACCUGGACAAAUGGGAAACUGGCUGAGGCUCCUCCUUCCAGGGACAGGCUGACCUCCACCCCCAUCCCUGGCCUCUGCCUCCAGGCACCUGGCUUGCGGGUCCUCGCAGGAGCCAUGGACCCCCGAGGUGAGUGGGGAGGGACAAGGACUCCAGGGAUGGGGCUGUGGGUCCCUCUGCAGCCAUCUGACCUUGUGGCUGAGGCUUGCCGGCUGCAUUAGGUCCACAGUCCAGAGUCAGUCCUGGCGAGGACAGCUGGGCGGAGGGGGAGUGGGAGCAGAGGCGGCCUGGGGAGCUGCAUUUGCGUGUGUUGUGGGUGGGCUUGGGUGGGGCCAGGGUGGUGGAGGGUAGGCCCUUGGGGAGCCUUCCUGAUUUGACAUGCAAACUGCCCAGGUCUCCCACGGGUGGGAGCGCGUGCACCUGUUCCUCUCCUGGGCCCAUGCCUCUAUUUGUCUCUUCUCCCCCCAGAUGACAGAGUCGGUGUCCAAGGAGGAAAUUCCUCCUAUUGUCAAGACUACUUGUGAUAGAGCAGGUCAAAGUCCCUCCCAGGAGCU
rnacentral:lncRNA from 1 species